rnacentral:rRNA from 1 species
GCCACAGCGUCCGGAACGACGUGCGCGGAUCCCACAGCGCCGGGUCCGCCAUCGCCUGCGCAUACGCCUCGGCCGUGCCCACCGGCACGAACGCGAAGCCGCUCGCGCGCACCG